rnacentral:rRNA from 1 species
UACAGAGGUCUCAAGCGUUAAUCGGAGUUACUGGGCUUAAAGGGUGCGUAGGCGGCUCCGUAAGUGCUUUGUGAAAUCCCAUGGCUUAACCAUGGAAUUGCUCGGCAUACUGCGGAGCUUGAGGUCGGUAGAGGUCGCUGGAACUCUAGGUGGAGCGGUGAAAUGCGUAGAUAUCUAGAGGAACGCCGAAGGUGAAGACAGGCGACUGGGCCGAUUCUGACGCUGAGGCACGAAAGCGUGGGGAGCAAACGGG